UACGUAGGGACCAAGCGUUGUUCGGAUUUACUGGGCGUAAAGGGCGCGUAGGCGGCGUGACAAGUCACUUGUGAAAUCUCCGGGCUUAACUCGGAACGGUCAAGUGAUACUGUCGUGCUAGAGUGCAGAAGGGGCAAUCGGAAUUCUUGGUGUAGCGGUGAAAUGCGUAGAUAUCAAGAGGAACACCUGAGGUGAAGACGGGUUGCUGGGCUGACACUGACGCUGAGGCGCGAAAGCUAGGGGGAGCAAACGGGG
rnacentral:rRNA from 1 species